rnacentral:rRNA from 1 species
AGUGAACGCUGGCGGCGUGCCUAACACAUGCAAGUCGAACGGGCUAGUGCUUCGCACUAGUCUCUUUCUGGGGUUGCUACUCUAAGGCUACCUGCUAAAGUUAUUGCUUUAAAGCAGGGGUUUUAGGGGACCUUCCCCAAAAGGGGCCAGUGCGGAGCACUGGCCAGUGGCGAACGGGUGAGUAACACGUGGGUAAUCUGCCCUCGAGUGGGGAAUAAGCUCCCGAAAGGGGUCUAAUACCGCAUGACGUUUCAUAACGAUGGUUAUGAAACCAAAGCCCAAAAGGCGCUUGAGGAGGAGCCUGCGUCCUAUCAGCUUGUUGGCAGGGUAAUGGCCUACCAAGGCUAUGACGGGUAGCCGGCCUGAGAGGGUGUCCGGCCACACUGGAACUGAGACACGGUCCAGACUCCUACGGGAGGCAGCAGUGGGGAAUUUUGCGCAAUGGGGGAAACCCUGACGCAGCGACGCCGCGUGGAGGAUGACGGCCUCGGUUGUAACGUACCUGUCACGAGGACGAAGUACCCG